UACUUGCCAGUUGCUACCAGGUAAUGCUGGGCGACUCUGGUGAGACUGCCCGGUUAACGGGGAGGAAGGUGGGGACGACGUCAAGUCAUCAUGGCCCUUACGCCUAGGGCUACACACGUACUACAAUGGCGCAUACAAAGGGCAGCGAUACCGCGAGGUGGAGCCAAUCCCAAAAAGUGCGUCCCAGUCCGGAUUGCAGUCUGCAACUCGACUGCAUGAAGUUGGAAUCGCUAGUAAUUCGAGAUCAGCAUGCUCGGGUGAAUGCGUUCCCGGGCCUU
rnacentral:rRNA from 1 species